UACGUAGGGGGCGAGCGUUGUCCGGAUUUAUUGGGCGUAAAGAGCGUGUAGGCGGUUCGGUAAGUCUGUCGUGAAAUCCUGAGGCUCAACCUCGGGCGUGCGAUGGAUACUGCCGGGCUAGAGGGUGGUAGAGGCGAGUGGAAUUCCCGGUGUAGCGGUGAAAUGCGCAGAUAUCGGGAAGAACACCAGUAGCGAAGGCGGCUCGCUGGGCCACACCUGACGCUGAGACGCGAAAGCUAGGGGAGCGAACAGG
rnacentral:rRNA from 1 species